CCUACGGGAGGCAGCAGUGGGGAAUAUUGGUCAAUGGACGAGAGUCUGAACCAGCCAAGUAGCGUGAAGGAUGACUGCCCUAUGGGUUGUAAACUUCUUUUAUAUGGGAAUAAAACGUUCCACGUGUGGGAUUUUGUAUGUACCAUAUGAAUAAGGAUCGGCUAACUCCGUGCCAGCAGCCGCGGUAAUACGGAGGAUCCGAGCGUUAUCCGGAUUUAUUGGGUUUAAAGGGAGCGUAGGUGGAUUGUUAAGUCAGUUGUGAAAGUUUGCGGCUCAACCGUAAAAUUGCAGUUGAAACUGGCAGUCUUGAGUACAGUAGAGGUGGGCGGAAUUCGUGGUGUAGCGGUGAAAUGCUUAGAUAUCACGAAGAACUCCGAUUGCGAAGGCAGUUCACUGGACUGCAACUGACACUGAGGCUCGAAAGUGUGGGUAUCAAACAGGAUUAGAUACCCGAGUAGUC
rnacentral:rRNA from 1 species